CCAAUAGCGUAUAUUAAAGUUGUUGCAGUUAAAAAGCUCGUAGUUGAACUUCGGGGUCUACCCAUUGGUCAGGCUUAAUUGUCUGUACUGGUGAGAUGGAUCUCUACCUUCUGAGGAACUUUCAUGCCAUUUAUUUGGUGUGAUUGGAAAUCAGGACUGUUACUUUGAAAAAAUUAGAGUGUUUAAAGCAGACUAUCGUCUGAAUACAUUAGCAUGGAAUAAUGAAAUAGGACGGACUGAUUCUAUUUCGUUGGUUUCUAGGAUCACCGUAAUGAUUAAUAGGGAUAGUUGGGGGCAUUAGUAUUCAAUUGUCAGAGGUGAAAUUCUUGGAUUUAUUGAAGACUAACUACUGCGAAAGCAUUUGCCAAGGAUGUUUUCAUUAAUCAAGAACGAAAGUUAGGGGAUCGAAGACGAUCAGAUACCGUCGUAGUCUUAACCAUAAACUAUGCCGACUAGGGAUCGGAUGAUGUUAAUUUUUUAAUGACUCAUUCGGCGCCUUACG
rnacentral:rRNA from 1 species